UGCCGGCUCAAUGAAUGCGGAG
rnacentral:miRNA from 1 species